rnacentral:rRNA from 1 species
GACGAACGCUGGCGGCGUGCCUAAUACAUGCAAGUUGAGCGCUGAAGGUUGGUACUUGUACCGACUGGAUGAGCAGCGAACGGGUGAGUAACGCGUGGGGAAUCUGCCUUUGAGCGGGGGACAACAUUUGGAAACGAAUGCUAAUACCGCAUAAAAACUUUAAACACAAGUUUUAAGUUUGAACGAUGCAAUUGCAUCACUCAAAGAUGAUCCCGCGUUGUAUUAGCUAGUUGGUGAGGUAAAGGCUCACCAAGGCGAUGAUACAUAGCCGACCUGAGAGGGUGAUCGGCCAAAUUGGGACUGAGACACGGCCCAAACUCCUACGGGAGGCAGCAGUAGGGAAUCUUCGGCAAUGGACGAAAGGCUGACCGAGCAACGCCGCGUGAGUGAAGAAGGUUUUCGGAUCGUAAAACUCUGUUGGUAGAGAAGAACGUUGGUGAGAGUGGAAAGCUCAUCAAGUGACGGUAACUACCCAGAAAGGGACGGCUAACUACGUG